rnacentral:rRNA from 1 species
AGUGAUGAUGGCAAAGAGGCCACACCCGUUCCCAUCCCGAACACGGAAGUUAAGCUCUUUUGCGCCAAUGGUAGUUGGGGGUCUCCCCCUGUGAGAGUAGGACGUCGCU